UUUUGUUCGAACCGCUCAGAAAAUCCUGGUUCUCGCAAAACAGGACAGUGAGGUAUUUCCUCGCUCGGAGAUAAGAGGUGGCAAAGCCUGGCACUACCCUGACAGGCACGUUUGUGAACAAAAUGCUUUGAGCUACAUCCUUUCCCUCCACUGACGCCGGAGAUGUCCGUGAUAACACCAGGAGUGGGCCCUUGGCGCCCAGUUUGCUACACUGCAAUUAGAGAAAAGUACUGGAAAGCGAUUGAGACAGCAGUAUGGCCCGGUCAGAGCAUCAAGACCUGAGUCCUCAUCUGUGACCUGGUCACUGCUCAUCUUUAUGUCUCCAGCUGGAAGGAAGGGAGAAUAAAAUCACCAUCUUGGCCCUGCACAACUUUCCUGAGGAAGGGAGACACAAGAGCAAGGAGGCUCUACCAGCCUGCGUUUCCGAGGCAGCGUAGGGCACAUGAAGAAGACAAAAAGGAGUUUUGAGGCGCGUCCAGCGGGUUUCCUCUCCCCCAGCGGUGACUGGAGGCAGGGAAUCUUACACACUGGACCCGGCAUCUUUCAUGCUUCCCUGCUGUCAUUGGAUGAGUGGAGUACAAGCCUUGUUACCUCAGGCAAAAGGGCAUAAUUACAAGUCAGUAAGCUCCUGCUGCAUGAAGAUGCAGAGCUGUUACAAAAUACAAGAAGAAUUCACUGCAGACGGGUUCAUACAGAGCAAUGAUCUCUUCUACAAGGAGUGGUAGCACGGGAUUCAGGCACCAGUUAAACCUCCUUAAAUCCCUCUUAAACCCUGCCAUACUGAGUAAAAAAUAAUACAUAGGAAAGCAGGUAUGUUACGAGUUUCUGUAUUUGUCACACAUUGGAUAUUUGAGUUAACCACAAAAGUUUUACUAGGACAGAAUUAUCUGAUAAUCCACUUUAUUUUACUUGGAGAACUGGGAUUUAUAAGUAGGUUAAUUUAAUCCCUAAAAAAUAAAACAUGAUGUUACUAUUCCCA
rnacentral:lncRNA from 1 species